GAAAUGCGAUAAGUAAUGUGAAUUGCAGAAUUCAGUGAAUCAUCGAAUCUUUGAACGCACAUUGCGCCCGGGAGCAUUCUCCCGGGCAUGCCUGUUCGAGCGUCAUUUCAACCCUCGACCUCCCCUUGGGGUGGCCGGCCGUUGGAGAUCGGCAGCGAUUGCCGGCUCCCAAAUUCAGUGGCGACCCGCCGCGGGGACCCCUGCGCAGUAACAUACACUCGCACCGGAAACCAGACGUGUCACGCCGUAAAACCCCAACUUUCUGAACGUUGACCUCGGAUCAGGUAGGAAUACCCGCUGAACUUAAGC
rnacentral:misc_RNA from 1 species